CAUAACUUAAGCAACACCGAUACAAAGCAGCAUUAGUAUUCAUUUGGAGUCGGUGUUUGUAGACACCUGAUGAAUGUCCA